GUAAAUUAAACAGGGGCACCUGGCUGGCUCAGUGGGUCAUUUGAUUUUUGAUGAGGGUGCCAAGACAUUUCAAUGGAGAAAGAGUAGUCUUUUCAACAAAGGGCAAAGGGUGUUGGGACAACUAGAUAUCCAUGUACGUGGUAAGAAAUUAGACCCCCUACUUCAUCUUGUACACAAAAAAUAAAUGUUCCGGUGACAUGGAUAUAGGAGCUGGAACCGUGAAACUCAGAGAAGGAAACAUAGGAAUAGGUUUUUGUGACUGUGGACUAGGCAGUGCUUUCUUCGACAUGACACCUAGAGCAGAAACAAUAAAAGAUUAAGAAGACUUCAUCA